CUUCAAUAGUUGCCAUUGUUGCUUCUCACCUCUAUAGAAGGCUUUUUGACGAUCUUUAAUAAGUUGUUUGGGUUAUCCAAGGUUUGUAGGUGUGAUGUAAUUUCACUGUCGUUAGUGGGAAGAUGUUAUUGAGAGCAUUGGUCACUUGUGAUGAAAAGGAGGUUGUGAUAAAAGAAUAGCUGUAUAUAACUAUAUAUUAUGAAUAUGUAAAUUAAUGGAUUAUAUAAGGAGCCCAGAGUUUGAAGCGAGCAGAGGAAAAACAGGACAAGCAAGGAAGGAGUUCCUAAACAUUCAAAAACCGACGAAGACCUUCAGGAGAAGAACAACGUGGAAAGAUAUCUUGCUUUUGUUGGAAGUAUACUAAAGUUCGCUGACUAUAUACGCUCAAGUUCAUCUGAGAUCGACAGAAAACCACCUCGAAGCGAUUUAAGAAUGUUCAGGUUGUCAGCAAGUUUCGUCACGCUUUUGUUCAUAAGACAUAGCCGUUACAAUUUUAAACAAACAAGAUACGACGCUGUUAUAUGUUUGAUACUACGCGGAAAGCUGGGCUAGCUGAAGAAAGAAGACGUAGCUACAUUGUUGGACUCGGGUUUGUAAAAAAAAUACUUUAGG